CAGCCGCCGCGGUAACACGUAGGCGGCAAGCGUUGUCCGGAAUUAUUGGGCGUAAAGGGAGCGCAGGUGGGACGGUAAGUCCGUCUUAAAAGGCAGGGGCCCAGCCCCUGUAAGGGAUGGAAACUAUCGAUCUUGAGUGCCGGAGAGGAAAGCGGAAUUCCCAGUGUAGCGGUGAAAUGCGUAGAUAUUGGGAAGAACACCAGUGGCGAAGGCGGCUUUCUGGACGGCAACUGACACUGAGGCUCGAAAGCCAGGGGAGCGAACGGGAUUAGAUACCACCGUAGUCCCUGUCUCUUAUACC
rnacentral:rRNA from 1 species